rnacentral:rRNA from 1 species
GAUGAACGCUGGCGGCGUGCCUAAUACAUGCAAGUCGAGCGAAUGGAUUAAGAGCUUGCUCUUAUGAAGUUAGCGGCGGACGGGUGAGUAACACGUGGGUAACCUGCCCAUAAGACAGGGAUAACUCCGGGAAACCGGGGCUAAUACCGGAUAACAUUUUGAACCGCAUGGUUCGAAAUUGAAAGGCGGCUUCGGCUGUCACUUAUGGAUGGACCCGCGUCGCAUUAGCUAGUUGGUGAGGUAACGGCUCACCAAGGCAACGAUGCGUAGCCGACAUGAGAGGGUGAUCGGCCACACUGGGACUGAGACACGGCCCAGACUCCUACGGGAGGCAGCAGUAGGGAAUCUUCCGCAAUGGACGAAAGUCUGACGGAGCAACGCCGCGUGAGUGAUGAAGGCUUUCGGGUCGUAAUACUCUGUUGUUAGGGAAGAACAAGUGCUAGUUGAAUAAGCUGGCACCUUGACGGUACCUAACCAGAAAGCCACGGCUAACUACGUGCCAGCAGCCGCCUAA